rnacentral:rRNA from 1 species
AUGGGAGCAACAUCUCUGAAGGGAGGUGAAGUAGAGCCGGUCGGCUGCUUAAGGCAAGGAAGAUCCGGCAAGGUGAUCACUGAAGCUCGACGAAGAGGCGGCGACCCGGAGGCGUUCACGGCAGGCUGUUUGAGGUGGUGCAAUAGCAAGGGUGUUGCCAGCAGGGGAGGCCUUGGCAUGGUAGCUCACCACGGAGGUGGCGAGUGGUGGCUUGGUGCAGACAAGGCGAAGGAGCGAGGCCAAGGUGGAGGUCUAAAGCGACUCGGCGCGAAGCCCUCCCAGUGA